rnacentral:rRNA from 1 species
AACCACUUCGGUGGGGAUUAGUGGCGAACGGGUGAGUAACACGUGGGCAAUCUGCCCUGCACUCUGGGACAAGCCCUGGAAACGGGGUCUAAUACCGGAUACUGAUCCUCGCAGGCAUCUGCGAGGUUCGAAAGCUCCGGCGGUGCAGGAUGAGCCCGCGGCCUAUCAGCUUGUUGGUGAGGUAACGGCUCACCAAGGCGACGACGGGUAGCCGGCCUGAGAGGGCGACCGGCCACACUGGGACUGAGACACGGCCCAGACUCCUACGGGAGGCAGCAGUGGGGAAUAUUGCACAAUGGGCGAAAGCCUGAUGCAGCGACGCCGCGUGAGGGAUGACGGCCUUCGGGUUGUAAACCUCUUUCAGCAGGGAAGAAGCGAAAGUGACGGUACCUGCAGAAGAAGCGCCGGCUAACUACGUGCCAGCAGCCGCGGUAAUACGUAGGGCGCAAGCGUUGUCCGGAAUUAUUGGGCGUAAAGAGCUCGUAGGCGGCUUGUCACGUCGGUUGUGAAAGCCCGGGGCUUAACCCCGGGUCUGCAGUCGAUACGGGCAGGCUAGAGUUCGGUAGGGGAGAUCGGAAUUCCUGGUGUAGCGGUGAAAUGCGCAGAUAUCAGGAGGAACACCGGUGGCGAAGGCGGAUCUCUGGGCCGAUACUGACGCUGAGGAGCGAAAGCGUGGGGAGCGAACAGGAUUAGAUACCCUGGUAGUCCACGCCGUAAACGGUGGGCACUAGGUGUGGGCAACAUUCCACGUUGUCCGUGCCGCAGCUAACGCAUUAAGUG